rfam:Pyrenochaeta sp. DS3sAY3a unplaced genomic scaffold IQ07scaffold_11, whole genome shotgun sequence.
ACAUACGACCACAGGACACUGAGAACAAGGCUUCCCGUUCGCUCAGCCAUAUUUAAGCAGUGUACCGGUAGACUAGUAAUUGCGUGGGUGACCAGCAGUGAAUCCCUGCUGUUGUAUGUU